UAUGGGCUAAGUUAAAAAAGUUGUUUAAAAAAUCCAUAUUUUGGAAAUGUCAGGAUAAUUUCUAGGGGCUCACGAGUCACGUGCAAAAAUUUCACAGUUCUAUCCAAAACCCUUAAAAAAAAAAAUGGGUUUUAUUCGAAUCGACCGAUUUAAGGGGGGUUUCACUCCACCUUAACGAGAGAAUUGUAAGUUAAAAUCUCCUAAAAUAGAAAAAAUUAAAUAGGAUCAUUUAUAUAUAGUUUAAAUUAAUUGAACGUUGCCGUUGUCGAGUUGUGACGUUUUCGUUUGAGUGGCGAUUCGUCGGCUGAUCCAAGGGGGCGUUAUCUCCUUAAACUACAACGCGAUUGCACAUUGAUUUUCCUACUCUUACGCAAAACCUCAUUGGAAUGUUGACCACGCAUAAAAUGAUUCAUAUUCCCACCAUGAUAUCGAUUAUUUAAUUUCAGAAUACGCUGCGUAUAUUUUGCUUAGUCUAAUAAAAGCCUCGAGGUAACUCGCUCAUUGACGUAAAGUUACACUCUCCUAUUAAGGUGAAGUGAAAGACACCGAGGGACUUGUUCGACGUCGUGACGUUCGAAAAGUCGCUUUGACGAUUAACGCAUCGCUACGACUUCCAUCGUCGACGUCGGCCUUUGUUUUUUAUUAGUAAAUGUCACCUCCACGAAGACCUUGCGAAGAGGACGAUUGCCGCCGAGAACGCGAUUUCAGGAUCAAAGUUUAUCAUCGGUCAAUUCAUCUAAGAAAAACAUCGACUGAUCGUUUAGCGUCACACCAAGAAAACGGAGAUUCUCGGUAAUUAAUGAAAUAUUGCGAAACACAAUAGCGGAAUUAAUAAACUGAGUCUGGCCAUACACGGAAGGACUUUAUGUCGGAUCUUCUCCGAGAUAAAAUAUCUGUCUCCGUGAGUGGUGAUCGCCAUUUUUAGUAGCGCAUCAUGCGAUUUUUUUAGUAGCGCGUCAUGCCACUGAUUAAGAAACAAUUAUUACUAGAUAAAGUUCCGAUUGCACGCAUUCGAAGCUUCGGAAAGACAAGAACCGCGUGAAUUUCGUUUGCGUAACAGGUGCACGAAGAUUUAUUUGCAUCGUCCACGCGAGGACUCCUUUGCCCGAUACACAAUUUAGACAACCGUGACAGCGUUUGUACUCUUAAUCUUUAUAGACCAAUUAAAUGGAGUAUACCUUAGCCAUAUACCAAUUAAAUGUAUUAGCUUAGAAAGCGUCGUCUGCGUAAAAACUGGCGAGAGUAAUGCCAUUAAUUAGCUUUCGACCCAACGGGUAUAUGUACGUACAGAGAAUGUUCAUAAAUCACGGUGAACAAUUUAAGUUCGUACUCACGUGUAAUGUCAAAUAUAUGUACGCGAUCGAUAGGUUUCGCUUAAACUUAGGAAAAUCACUGUGCAAUUGACAGGAAAAAGUUUCCGACGAUCAGUUGGCCCUCGAAUCGAUUAGUUACUCUUUUUUCUCAUUUUUAGCGAGAAAUGUUGCAAAACGCGAGGAGUAAUUCCGCAACAAGUGAGCGUGUUGUUUUUUUUUUCUCGUUCGUAUGAUCAUAGAGCCAGUGGUGUCAAAAAAUGCAAAUAAGCCCGGAGAAAAUUCCUCGUUUCUAUCGAGACAUCCUCACUAAAUGUCAGAGUAAUUCCGCAACAAGUGAGCGUGUUUUUUUUUUUUCGUUCGUAUGAUCAUAGAGCCAGUGGUGUCAAAAAAUGCAAAUAAACCCGGAGAAAAUUCCUCGUUUCAAUCGAGACACCCUCACUAAACGUCAGGAGUUACAAAAUCGAGGGAAAAUGACGUGCAGGUGCAUCUCAGUCGAAUUGGACGUUGUCAUUUACAUGUUGAUAAGAUAUCACGUGAUUACGGUUAACGCGCUACACGUAACAGGUGCUUCUAACAAGAGUUUCUUAUAAAUGUGCCCAUAAUCAUGAAAGUGGUCUAAGUCAAAAUUAAAACAAAAAAAUGAGUUUAUCAGUUAUUUCACGCCAUAUUAUUUCAAACGAAAUUAAUUCAAUGUAAUUUCGAGACAAAAAAUAUAUGACUUAGACUUUCAUAAUUAUGGGCACAAAUGACGUCGACAGCGAAUUCGCUCAAUUUAUACAGAAUGCCGUAAUCCCUUCAUGUAGGACCAAAUUUUUCGAUUUCAUGCCGUGUUCAGGAAUGUUCGCAAUCUUUGCGGGGGAAAUUCAUUGCGGUAGAAUCUUGGAACGACAGCCGAAAAAUUGAUUUCCCAUGUCCGAGUGUUGGGAAUAAUCCUACCCCGUCUUUUCCUUCGACAUUUACAAUUUUCGUACGAAACCUCCAGGCGCCAUUAAAACAGGAUUUUCCAUACGAUUUCCGAUGCGUCAAUUGUUGUAACAACCGUGAUCGCAGAAUCCGUGGAAUGCAUGCGCUUUUGGAUAACAAAAUAAACAAUUUCAGAUCUGGGAAAAUCUGACAAUUUCCCUUUCGCAUUGUUUGCUCCUUAAUAAACGAGGCUUAGCGAAUUACCGACCGUAACUCCCAUUGUUUUUCACUCAUCGACCUUUAGAGCGAUGCCUUUCAGAUUUAAAGCUCCCUUGAACUGCGAAAUUUAGAUUUAAAUUACACCCUCGAAAUCGAUAGUACUAAUUUUUCCUAAACGUAUUAAUUUUCACAGAAAAAAAAAAAAAAAGAAAAAGUCAAGUGACUUUAAAUGAACACCGUUCUCAUGUAAGUUCCACUCUACCCUUUGCUUAGACACUCGAAUCGUUAACGUAAUUAAUUAAUAUUGUUAUCCAUACAUGAUAGUUAUUCAUUGGAAUCUCCCUUGAACUGCGAAAUUUAGAUUUAGAUUAUACCCUCGAAAUCGAUAGUACUAAUUUUUCCUAAACGUAUUAAUUUUCACAGAAAAAAAAAA